GGUGUUGUCUGUAUCGACCCGGACAGUGCCGUAGCUAACGCGUUAAGUAUCCCGCCUGGGGAGUACGCACGCAAGUGUGAAACUCAAAGGAAUUGACGGGGGCCCGCACAAGCGGAGGAACAUGUGUUUAAUUCGAUGAUACGCGAGGAACCUUACCAGGACUUGACAUGUCGCGAAUCCAGGUCGAUACAGACAACACC
rnacentral:rRNA from 1 species